GACGAACGCUGGCGGCGUGCUUAACACAUGCAAGUCGAACGGUAAGGCCCUUUCGGGGGUACACGAGUGGCGAACGGGUGAGUAACACGUGGGUGAUCUGCCCUGCACUUUGGGAUAAGCCUGGGAACUGGGUCUAAUACCGGAUAGGACUACGCGAUGCAUGUCGUGUGGUGGAAAGCUUUUGCGGUGUGGGAUGGGCCCGCGGCCUAUCAGCUUGUUGGUGGGGUGAUGGCCUACCAAGGCGACGACGGGUAGCCGGCCUGAGAGGGGGUCCGGCCACACUGGGACUGAGAUACGGCCCAGACUCCUACGGGAGGCAGCAGUGGGGAAUAUUGCACAAUGGGCGCAAGCCUGAUGCAGCGACGCCGCGUGAGGGAUGACGGCCUUCGGGUUGUAAACCUCUUUCACUAGGGACGAAGCGUGAGUGACGGUACCUAGAGAAGAAGCACCGGCCAACUACGUGCCAGCAGCCGCGGUAAAAC
rnacentral:rRNA from 1 species